ensembl:lncRNA
GUAAGGCAUGUCCUUUUUGCAAUUUUACUUGAGCUGUCGGUGUUAUGAAGAUGCAUUAUUCUCUGAGUAACCUUGAUGCUGUUUUUCACAGUGCACUGAACACCGUAUUUGUUAAAUGAGCGAUUGAAAUACAUUUUUAAUUUGUAUUAAACGUUAAGUCUUGUACCUUGCAGCCCCCCUUAUCACCAGGCCUUCCACACACUCAACUGGUAAAGCCCAGUUACUGGACCUGGAGACCGGAUGUCUGUCUUUACAGUGGCUUGCAGGAGGGCAAGGUUCUUUCAUUUAAAGAUUGACUUGGAUGGAAUCAUGGUCUGUCUACAACCAAGCUAAAAGCUCCAGGUGUGAAGUUAUGAGGUGUUCCUGUACCUGGAAUGUGAUGUCGGUCUUUACUUGCAGGAGGGGAAGGUCCUUUCAUUUCAAGAUUGACUUGGAUGGAAUCAUGGUCUGUCUACGAUCAAGCUAGAUGCUCCAGGUGUGAAGUCAUGAGGUGUUCCUGUAACUGAUGUCUGUCUUUACAGUGGCUUGCAGGAGGGGAAGGUCCUUUCAUUUUCAAGAUUGACUUGGAUGGAAUCAUGGUCAGUCUACGAUCAAGCUAGAAGCUCCAGUUGUGAAGUCAUGAGGUGUUGCUGUUAUGAAGAUCUACAUUAACUGCACUGGGACCCAACAACCUCCAAGACUCAUAAAUUCGAAA